AUCCCGUCUUUGGCACGGAUGUACCGGGGCUUUUGUGAUGCGCUCUCGAAGAGUCGAGUUGUUUGGGAAUGCAGCUCAAAAUGGGUGGUGAACUCCAUCUAAAGCUAAAUAUUGGCGAGAGACCGAUAGCGAACAAGUACCGUGAGGGAAAGAUGAAAAGCACUUUGGAAAGAGAGUGAAACAGUACGUGAAAUUGUUGAAAGGGAAACGCUUGAAGUCAGUCGCGUCGACCGAGACUCAGCCUCGCCUCGGCUUGGUGUACUUCUCGGCUGACGGGUCAGCAUCAAUUUUGCCCCUUGGAUAAUGGCGAGGGAAAUGUGACACCUUUGCGGUGUGUUAUAGUCUCUCGUCGCAUGCAAGGGUCGGGAUUGAGGAACUCAGCACGCGCCUUUGGGCGUCGGGGCUUUGCCCACGAUACGUGCUUAGGAUGCUGGCGUAAUGGCUUUAAACGACCCGUCUUGAAACACGGACCAAGGAGUCUAACAUGCCUGCGAGUGUUCGGGUGGAAAACCCGUGCGCGCAAUGAAAGUGAAAGUUGGGACCUCUGUCGUGGAGGGCACCGACGCCCGGACCAGACCUUCUGUGACGGUUCUGCGGUAGAGCAUGUAUGUUAGGACCCGAAAGAUGGUGAACUAUGCCUGAAUAGGGUGAAGCCAGAGGAAACUCUGGUGGAGGCUCGUAGCGAUUCUGACGUGCAAAUCGAUCGUCAAAUUUGGGUAUAGGGGCGAAAGACUAAUCGAACCAUCUAGUAGCUGGUUCCUGCC
rnacentral:rRNA from 1 species